CUCCGCUUCCCACAGGCCCCGCGCGGCCGCCCGACCCCGCAGCCAAUCGCGCGGCUGCUUACUCAAACCGCCGCGCAGGCGCCGCGCCCCGCAUGCUCCGGCGCCCGCCAUUGGGCCGACCGCGGGGCCGGACGGGAGUUGUAGUCCGAGUCCGCGAGGUCGCGGUGCCGAGAGGUCGGCGCGGGAGCUGGCAGCGGCAGGAGAGGUUGCGGCGGACCCGGACUGCUCGGGCUCAGGAGCCAGUUCCAGCUGCUGGCCCUGCCGGGAGACGCAGGCUGCGGAGGGAAAACCACGUUAAAAGUAGCACAAUUGAUUCCUCCUAAGAGAUGUACAUGAUUCUUUGGGCUCAGAUGGCACUGCUGUUAGGUGGGCGGUGAAUGGAGAUCCACUUGGGAAAUUAGAAAACUACUCAUUGUUUUCAUUGAAAAGCCCGCCUCUUCCUCCACAAAAGGGUGGGGGAGAACAUUAAGAACCUACUAUGCAUCAGAUAUGAUAUCAGGCUCUUGAGGAAGUCUUCAUUUGCAUCUCUACCUGUUACCUUUAUUUUACAAGUGAGAAACUGAAAAGGAUCUGAGGCAAGCGUGUACCCUUUGAUGCUGCAGGCUGUUCCUGUAUGCUGCCUAGAGGAGCACAGCAUCCCCACUACCUUGAGUUCCACUUAGAUGGACUCUAGCUGAAAAAA